CUCUCAUUGAUGUUUCUAACUCUCCCUUUCCCUUCCUUUCUGUGAAAAAGAAAAUCAAUAAAAUAUAUAUAUUUUUAAAAUGCAGGGUGUGAGGAAGGCCACAGAUAAAACUAACAAAUUGGGUGAGGAAGAGGAAACCAAUGAUUAAUCAUUAAAAUGGAGAGUUAGGAGGAAAAUUAGUUAAAAGUCAAUAUUAGGGCAAGUUGGAAGGAGGAGGGAGAUGAUCAGUACUAAAUGCUACAGAGAAGUCAGAUGAAAGCAAUUGGUCAUCAGCAACUAAGUGAUCAUCAGGACCUCAAAGAAGAGUUUCAGUAAGGAAGAAGUAAAAUAGGUAGAAACAGAUGUAUAGACUAAAUUUUAAAAUCAUGGUGAUACACAUACACAUCUCAAGUGGGCACUCACUUGAGAGAGAUGAAAAGAGUUGUGACAAAGUGUGUGCUUGUGUAUGUAUAUGUUUUAAAGAUAGAGAUUUAAGUAAUUGUAGAUUCUGGAAGAAUUGCUGAUGGAAAGGGAGAGCUUAAAGAUACCAAGAUCUCUGAGGAAUUGAGAGCAGGUAAGAGGGAUCAGGAGCUUGAGAGACAGAUUUCAUCCUUCAAAACAGAAGGGAAAAAGAAAAGGAUGAGUGAGAGAAAGGUAGAAAACAUUCUGAGGUAGAAGAGAAACUGUCUGACUAUAGAUGUAGCCUCCAUUUUCUUAUUCAUUUAUUCAAUAUAUGAUUUGAUUAUGAACUGUGAACAAGUCAGACAAGGCACCUGUCCUCAUGGGAGGUAGUAAUUUUGAGAUCUUUAUUGCAGUCAGAUUAGGUUUUUUAUACUUCUCUGGGUUCUUUAUCUUAACCAUGGAACAAAGAAAAUAAUUGGGCUAUUUUCCAAGUUAUCCAAAAGUUGAUAUAGCUAAUACCAUUCUAGACGCAUAGGAGAGAGGUUAAUUCAUUAUAUACAUUGAUGUAGGGAUUGAGUUAGGAAUCCAGCUUUGUUUUAAAAUGGCUAGUCAGAUGUUUUUGCGCCAUAUAUUGAUUAAUCCAUUUUUCUCCAUUGAUUUUGAAAUGUCACCAUUUAUUAUAUGCCAACUAUCCAGUUCUGGAUUGUAUUUUGUUCAAUUGAUUUAUCUAUUCUAGUGUCAUACUACAUGGUCAAAAUUACUGUUUCUUUCUACGUUCAAAGGUUUUAGUAUUUUAAAGAGCCAGGAACCUGUCAUUUUCCAGAAUUUUUCUUAUCUAUUCUUAGGUAUGUAUUUAUUUAGAUAAAAUUUGGAAUGAUGACAUUAAGUCUGCCCACCAUCCUUAAUUCCUCUUCUCCUUACCUGCCCUGUGCA